rnacentral:rRNA from 1 species
UACGUAGGGUGCAAGCGUUGUCCGGAAUCAUUGGGCGUAAAGCGCGUGUAGGCGGCUGGCUAAGUCCGCUCUGAAAGCCCGGGGCUCAACCCCGGGAGGCGGGUGGAUACUGGUCAGCUCGAGUCCGGAAGAGGAGUGUGGAAUUCCUGGUGUAGCGGUGAAAUGCGCAGAUAUCAGGAGGAACACCGAUGGCGAAGGCAGCACUCUGGGACGGUACUGACGCUGAGACGCGAAAGCGUGGGGAGCAAACAGG